AACUUACACAUGCAAGUCUCCACACACCCGUGAAAACGCCCCUUCGUCCGUUUACGGACAGGGAGCCGAUAUCAGGCACAAACACCCAAGACAUCUAGCCAUGCCACACCCACAAGGGCCCUCAGCAGUGAUCAACAUUAAAAAUAAACGUCAGUUUGAUUUAGUUAAUGAAAACAGAGCCGGCCAAUCUGGUGCCAGCCGCCGCGGUUACACCACGUGGCUCAAAUUGACUUCACAACGGCGUAAAGCGUGAUUAAAGAGAAUAAAUUAUUGAGGUUAAACUUAAACUGAGCUGUAGCACGCCUGUAAUAAGGAAAAUCACAUUUCGAAAGAUACCCCAAAUCAUCAACUUGAACUCACAACAACUAAAAUACAAACUGGGAUUAGAUACCCCACUAUGCUUAGUCGUAAACUUUAACUUACACCCCAUCGCCAGGGGACUACGAGCAAACCCAAAGGACUUGACGGUACCCCACAUCCCCCUAGAGGAGCCUGUCCUAUAACCGAUACCCCACGUUCUACCCCACCAUUUUUAGUCUAUCAGCCUGUAUACUUCCGUCGUCAGCUUACCGCAUGAGCGAGAUAAGUAAGCCAAAUGUUACUCACCAAUACGUCAGGUCAAAGUGCAGCAAAUAAAAUGGCAAGAGAUGGGCUACACUCUCUACAAUAGAAGACACAAAAAUUAUGUGAAAUCAUAUCUAAAAGGUGGAUUUAGUAGUAAGAAGAAAAUAGUAUAUUCCUCUUAACCCGGCACUGGGGUGUGUACACACCGCCCGUCACCCUCUUCAACUAACAUCACCACAGUAUUUAACAACCGCUACGCAAUAGAAGAGGUAAGUC
rnacentral:ncRNA from 1 species